rnacentral:rRNA from 1 species
UAGUAAUCGCAGAUCAGAAUGCUGCGGUGAAUGCGUUCCCGGGUCUUGUACACACCGCCCGUCACACCAUGGAAGCUGGGGGCGCCCGAAGUCGGCAGGGGAAUAUGCUGCCUAAGGCGAAAACCAGUGACUGGGGUGAAGUCGUAACAAGGUACC